rnacentral:misc_RNA from 1 species
GACUGCCAAACUUCUUAUCUCCACCACUACUCUGUCUCUCAUAUGAAAUUGUAGCUUUCUCUCCCUCGUCAUUCCUCCAUUGGCCUCUAUCUCCCAUGGCGAAAGCCCUAAUUUCAUCUCCGCCGUGCAUCGGCGCACCACUUUCUUCACUCUCUCGCCAUGGGCUUCACACGCUCCCUAACCGGAGAUUCAUAUCCACAAGAGUCAAGUUCAGUUUACACGAAGUUCCUCCAAUUAUUCAAUUAGACUCCUCUAUUGACUUCGGUUCGAUUGUUACUAAAGCUGAAAGCCUUCUCUACACACUCGCUGAUGCAGCGGUUGCGGUGGAUUCAGCAUCCGGUGGUGCUGCCUCCAGCUCAACUGAUGCUGCUGUGCAGAAGAAUGGCGGUUGGUUCGGGUUUAUCUCCGAAUCCAUGGAAUUCGUUCUCAAGGUGUUGAAGGAUGGGCUUUCAUUUGUGCAUGUGCCUUAUGCUUAUGGUUUUGCAAUUAUUUUGCUCACUGUUAUUGUGAAAGUUGCUACGUUACCUUUGACCAAGAAACAAGUGGAAUCUACAUUGGCUAUGCAAAACCUUCAACCUAAGAUAAAAGCUAUUCAACAAAGAUAUGCAGGCAAUCAGGAGAGAAUACAACUUGAGACAUCACGUCUCUAUAGGCAAGCUGGGGUUAAUCCAUUAGCAGGUAAUUAAAUGGCUUCCUGAAGUUACGUUGGUUUCAUAUUUGAAAUUUGAUUAAUUAAAUUUUGUUUCAUACUGGUCAAGAACUUAUGCGUUGGCAUCUAGAGUUUGUUCCCUUGAUUUGAACUCUGUAAACUGUUCUUCAAAUAAAAGGCAAUGCCAAUUGGUUUUGAAAUAGUGGUAAGCGUUUAUUCCUUUUAUGUCAAUCUUGUUUAUUAGAUUACAUUAACAUCAUCGUUCUUUUAUACUUUUACUUUUAGCUGCACUGGCAUUUAGUAUUUGUUUUCUUCAUUCAUAACUCGAGAGAUCUUGCUUCUGUUAUCUUCUUCAUUUCUUAAUUUAUUCUUCUACUACAGCUAUCUUAUUCCAUGUCUACUGUACUAAGUUUACAAUAUUUCUAUGUUCAAUUUUGCCAAUAUGUAGCAUCUAUUCAUUGUGCAUUGUGCUUAAUGGUGGAAAUGCUUAAUAACAUCCCACUCCAGGUUGUUUUCCAACUUUGGCUACAAUACCGGUCUGGAUUGGUCUAUAUCAAGCUCUUUCAAAUGUCGCCAAUGAGGGACUGUUGACAGAAGGUUUUUUUUGGAUUCCAUCAUUGGGUGGGCCAACUACAAUUGCGGCUCGACAAAGUGGAUCUGGCAUUUCAUGGCUUUUUCCAUUUGUGGAUGGCCAACCACCAUUGGGCUGGCAUGACACUGCAGCUUACCUGGUUUUACCUGUCCUCCUUGUUGUUUCUCAAUAUGUGUCAAUGGAGAUCAUGAAACCUCCCCAGACAGAUGAUCCAGCUCAAAAGAACACGCUUCUUGUUUUCAAGUUUCUUCCUCUCAUGAUUGGUUACUUUUCCUUGUCUGUCCCAUCAGGAUUGUCUAUUUACUGGUUCACAAACAAUGUCCUCAGCACAGUCCAACAGGUAUGGUUACGCAAAUUAGGUGGUGCAAAGCCUGUGGUUAAUGAGAAUGCAAGUGGAAUCAUCACUGCAGGACGUGCAAAACGAUCAGCUUCACAGCCAGCACAGCCUGGCGAUAGGUUCAGCAAGUUGAAGGAAGAAGAGAAGAGGAAAAAGACAAGCAAGGCACUAGCAGAUGAAGAGAUUCAGACUCUAGAUUUUGCAUCUGGUUCUAAUGAGGACUCAGAUGAAGAGACUAAGGACAAGGGUGAAGGAGUUCUAGAAGAAGCAUAUGCUUCUAGUGCAAGCAAACAGGUUCCAGAUAUUUCUAGGCCAAAGAGAAGCAAGCGGUCCAAGAGAAGGCGUGCUGUAUAAAAUGACUAUAUACUGAUUUGAUGAUUGUAGUUUUCGGUGAGUCCUGUAUAUCUCAAGAAAAUGUAUUUUUGUUGAUAUGUAGUGCCAUUUUUAUGCUGCUAAUUAUUCAUUUAAAGAUGAAUUGCAAAUCGUGGAAAUCAUGCCUGAUUAUAGACCCUCAAUUCCACACGGUAUAUGAUGCAGUGCCUUGCUGUCUUGUCAUUGUGAUAGUUCAAGGCAGCAAUGGUUUCAUCAGAGCAUUAACAUGAAUGCAUUAUUAUUGUGAUGGCAAUAAAACAGAUGGUGUAGGCAUUUCUGUAAUGUUUGCAAACACUAUAUCGACUAGAGCUGGAACUCUUUUUUAGCAGGUACCUAGUUGUUUGUUUGCUUUUCCCCUAAACUUUAUUUGUCCAUUGGACAUGUUUUUUAUCUACAUUUUAU